rfam:Felis catus isolate Cinnamon breed Abyssinian chromosome A3, whole genome shotgun sequence.
GCCUGGGUGGCUCAGUCGGUUAAGCAUCUGACUUCGGCUCAGCUCAUGAUCUCACAGUUCGUGGGUUCAGGCCCCACAUCAGGCU